rnacentral:rRNA from 1 species
AUUGAACGCUGGCGGAAUGCUUUACACAUGCAAGUCGAACGGCAGCACGGACUUCGGUCUGGUGGCGAGUGGCGAACGGGUGAGUAAUAUAUCGGAGCGUGCCCAGUCGUGGGGGAUAACGUAGCGAAAGCUACGCUAAUACCGCAUACGAUCUACGGAUGAAAGCGGGGGAUCGCAAGACAUCGCGCGAUUGGAGCGGCCGAUAUCAGAUUAGGUAGUUGGGGAGGUAAAGGCUCACCAAGCCGACGAUCUGUAGCUGGUCUGAGAGGACGACCAGCCACACUGGGACUGAGACACGGCCCAGACUCCUACGGGAGGCAGCAGAGGGGAAUUUUGGACAAUGGACGCAAGUCUGAUCCAGCCAUUCCGCGUGCAGGACGAAGGCCUUCGGGUUGUAAACUGCUUUUGUACAGAACGAAAAGGUCUCUAUUAAUACUAGGGGCUCAUGACGGUACUGUAAGAAUAAGCACCGGCUAACUACGUGCCAGCCGCCGCAGUAA